ACGCGGAGCCAAUCGGAACUCGCGGCGGGGUUGCUGGGUCUUCCAGGAUCGCGCAUUAGCGGACGCUGGCUACGGGUGGCCGGGCGGGAUGUAACCGGCUGCUGAGCUGGCAGUUCUGUGUCCCCAGGCUUCGGCCCGGCCGCCGCCGCACAUAAACUGCGAGGAGGAGCUUUACGACUUCUCGGUCUUCGGGGCCGGGCGCAGCAAGGGCCAGACUCUGCGCUAGCAGGCGCUGCGCGCCAACCGGCCGGCCCCUGUCGCAGAAGGUGCAACCGAUCGCACUGUCGCGCAGAAGCUCCUCAAUGGCCAGCGCCAGCUGCAGCCCCGGCUGCCCACUCGCCUCACCUGAGCCUGGGUGGAACAAUCCAAAGUUUUAAUCAAAGAAGGUGGUAUUCAGUUGCUGCUUACAAUAGUUGAUACCCCAGGAUUUGGAGAUGCAGUGGAUAAUAGUAAUUGCUGGCAGCCUGUUAUCAAUUACAUUGAUAGUAAAUUUGAGGACUACCUAAAUGCAGAAUCGCAAGUGAACAGAUGUCAGAUGCCUGGUAACAGGGUGCACUGUUGUUUAUACUUCAUUGCUCCUUCAGGACAUGGACCGUUACAUAACUGAAGACUCCCACCUUCAGGCAGGAUUGGGUAGUACAUGUUUGUAACUACCUGGCAUUGCCUUUUGUUGAGAUAAAGAAAUCCAAGAACAUAAAGUUAAAAUAUAUGAAUUUCCAGAAACAGAUGAUGAAGAAGAAAAAAAACUUGUUAAAAAGAUAAAGGACCAUUUACCUCUUGCUGUGGUGGGUAGUAAUACUAUCAUUGAAGUUAAUGGCAAAAGGGUCAUAGGAAGGCAGUAUCCUUGGAGUGUUGCUGAAGUUGAAAAUGGUGAACAUUGUGAUUUUACAGUUUUAAGAAAUAUGUUGAUAAGAACACACGCAGGACUUGAAAGAUGUUACUAAUAAUGUCCACUACGAGAACUAUGGAAUCAGAAAACUGGCAGCUGUGACUUAUCAUGGAGUUGAUAACAAGAAGAAUAAAGGGCAGCUCACUAAGAGCCCUCUGGCACAAAUGGAAGAAGAAAGAAGGGAGCAAGUAGCUAAAAUUAAGAAGAUGGAGAUGGAGAUGGAGCAGGUGUUUGAGAUGAAGGUCAAAGAAAAAGUUCAAAAACUGAAGGACUCUGAAGCUGAGUCUGCAGAUGUGGAUCCUGACUCCUGAGAGAAGUAGCUCACCGUGACGAAGCUGCGUUUGCUUUUAUCGAUUUGCAAAUCAAAGAAGGGGGACAUAUUGGGAGAAGGCCCCCCAAAAUCUGGCCAUAAACUGGCCACAAAACUGGCCAUAAAAUCUCUGCAGCACUGUGACAUGCUCAUGAUGGCCAUAACGCCCACGCUGGAAGGUUUUGGGUUUACCGGAAUGAAGGCAAGGAACACCUGGCCUGCCCAGGGCAGAAAACCACUUAAAGGCAUUCUUAAACCACAAACAGUAGCAUGAGCGAUCUGUGCCUUAAGGGCAUGUUCCUGCUGCAGAUAACUAGCCAGACCCACCCCUUUAUUUCAGGCCAUCCCUUCAUUUCCCAUAAGGGAUACUUUUAGUUAAUUGAAUAUCUAUAGAAACAAUGCUAAUGACUGGUUUGCUGUUAAUAAAUAAGUGGGUAAAUCUCUGUUCGGGGCUCUCAGCUCUGAAGGCUGUGAGACCCCUGAUUUCCCACUUUACACCUCUA
rnacentral:lncRNA from 1 species